CAUUGCACAAGCUCUUGCAGGAUCGCUUAUACACAAUUUUAGGUCCAGUCUUUGGAACUUUGGUUUUUCAAGAUAUGGCUAUUAUAUUGAGAAUCUUUGAUGAAGGGCCAGGAGCUGGCCUACACUGCUAUGCCCAUCAAUGAGGCUCUGGCAAAGACCUCACCUCCAUUCUCACCUCUUGCCUGGAGGUUGAUUGGGGGAGAACAGAAUUAGAUUCAUGAGAUGCAGCGAAACCUGGCACUCAACAUAUCCUCUCAACACAUCCACUCAACGCAUCCACUCAACACACCCUCUCAAC